rnacentral:rRNA from 1 species
UACGUAGGGGGCUAGCGUUGUCCGGAAUCAUUGGGCGUAAAGCGCGUGUAGGCGGCCCGGUAAGUCCGCUGUGAAAGUCGGGGGCUCAACCCUCGAAAGCCGGUGGAUACUGUCGGGCUAGAGUGCGGAAGAGGCGAGUGGAAUUCCUGGUGUAGCGGUGAAAUGCGCAGAUAUCAGGAGGAACACCGAUUGCGAAGGCAGCUCGCUGGGACGUUACUGACGCUGAGACGCGAAAGCGUGGGGAGCGAACAGG